rnacentral:rRNA from 1 species
GACGAACGCUGGCGGCGUGCUUAACACAUGCAAGUCGAACGGAAAGGCCCUGCUUUUGUGGGGUGCUCGAGUGGCGAACGGGUGAGUAACACGUGAGUAACCUGCCCUUGACUUUGGGAUAACUUCAGGAAACUGGGGCUAAUACCGGAUAGGAGCUCCUGCUGCAUGGUGGGGGUUGGAAAGUUUCGGCGGUUGGGGAUGGACUCGCGGCUUAUCAGCUUGUUGGUGGGGUAGUGGCUUACCAAGGCUUUGACGGGUAGCCGGCCUGAGAGGGUGACCGGCCACAUUGGGACUGAGCUGCGGCACAGACUCCUACGGGAGGCAGCAGUGGGGAAUAUUGCACUAUGGGAGGAAGCCUAGUGCAGCAACGCCGCGUGCGGGAUGACGGCCUUCGGGUUGUAAACCGCUUUCGCCUGUGACGAAGCGUGAGUGACGGUAAUGGGUAAAGAAGCACCGGCUAACUACGUG